GCUAUGUCACCAAAUAAUGUUUUGCUAAACUUCUUGUCUGUAGUACCUGCCUGAUGUAAUGGGCUGUCUGUUAGUAGCUUAGUAACCCAGAGUAAAACUGAAUCAUCCAUUUUAACAGAAUUCUGCCCCACACUUAACAUUUUCUCCUAACAGAAAACCAAGAAUUCUGCAAAAUUCUUCUAAGUAGAAGCAGCACAAUUCCUGAUAUUAACAAUAAAUAGGAGCACAGAAAAAGCUUUUAGAAAUUUCUCCCAUACCUGUUGAAGUCUAUAUGAAUAUAUUAAGGGGAAACUCCAGGAUGCUAACACUAAAAUAAGAAUUUCAUUAUAUAUGUAUGUAAAUUUAUUGAAAAUUUAUUCAAAAGUCCUCUCCCUGUUUUCCCAUCAUAUUCAGUAAAAGGUGCCUUUUAGUCCCCCUUUUUUUGGUCAUUAAGCCUAUUUGUAUGUUUCAGAGAAAAGUUUGUUUUUAUGUUUCAACCUCUCAGCUAAUGUUUGGAAUCACCCUUUUUGCAAAUGACUGCAUUCUUGGCAGCCCUUGUCAAUAAAUACUUCACCACAUAAUGAAACUCAUUUACUUUCUCAAUCUUGGGCCCAGCCUUAAAGGGCCCUGCUGCAAAUGGUGUCUCUUGGUGGGUUUCCUGUGCUGACUCCAAGACCAAGGACAGCAUGACUUCCUGGCUCUGGUUAGGGCUGUGGGAAAGGGUGAGAAUGCUUUUUCCAGGCACAAGGGCUUGUGUGGUUCAGCGGGGCAAGGAAAGUGCCAGAUGAACCAGCCCUUCCCAGAAGAUGGGGUGAAGGAAAAGGGUGUGUGUGCUUGGCCAGCAGGCCGCUGGGGGCCCUGUGAGCCUGGCCUUCAAGGUGGGAGGUGGUACAGGCCACAGAGCAGGCCUUGCUGAUUCUGGAGGCAAGGUUUCCCUGAAAUGGCACUGCUGUAUCACAGGAGAAAGGGCCAGCUGGCUACAUGGGCCCCACCAGCCUGCCUGCCUGCCCCUUCCGGAAAGCAACACACCAGGUUCGAAGCUGACUGGUCCAUCCUGAGGUUCCUGGUGGCUGUCACCAGGAUCUUCAGGCUCAGGGAUUGCCAUGGAAUCUGCAGAAGAAAGCAUUAGAUAUUGACCCCAGUGGUCAGAGGAGCUGCUUGACCUUGGGGAUCAGAGGUCAAGGGGGGAAGGGGGCCGCAGGGAGCCCUACCGUGGUGCUCGCAGUUGGGGCCCGUGUAGCCAGGGCAGCACCUCCAGGCCAAAGAGGUCAGCACCUUCUGCUUGACCUGGUACACUGGCUUGUGGGCCAUGCGGUACCUGGAAGAGGAGGAGGGCUGGCUCAGUGAUUCCAGGGAGGGCCCGCUCCAGGCCUGGGCAAAUGGCCCACCCUCCCCUACUCACAUGACUUUGACUUUCUGGCAGUCUGGAGCUCCCUGCGGACACGGCUGCUGCGAGUGGAUGAGGAAUUUCUCUGUUUUGCAAAGAGCUAGUAAGGUGACCAGCUUGGACAUUGGGUAGGGGCACCAGUUACUGGAAAACAAGCCAGAGGAGAAGGCUGCUGAGCCACACCCAGGUCAACAGGGGGUGCCAGUGCAGAGCCACCGGUCCUCGCCUCCUGCCGGAGCAGUGCUGGGAUUCUGGAAUCCAUUAUCCUGAGAAGAGAGCCUUCCGCAUUAUUCAUCCCUGGGCUCCAGAGCAAAUGUUUCACAAUCCCUACCUGCAAAGAGGGCACCUGCUCCACCACCUUCCCGAAGCCUCCCCGAGCCAGCAGAGAGGCUGAGAAACCCACCACAAUCUAGAACUGUGAAAAGCAGCUCCAGGGUGAUGAUUGUUUUAGCCAACAAAACUAACAGCCAGAGUGUGGGGAAAACACCGUGUGCACUACAGCUGUCUGCAUGGAUUUCCUUUGGUGAGGUUAGCCACAGAGCCAACGUGGCUCGCUGUUUCUCCUGCUACCAACGUGCAACUGGGGCUGGAGAAUCCUGGGUUCGAAUCCCUCACACUUUCUGGCUGUGUGGCCCUGAGUGAGGCACUUAGGGAGCUUCUGUUUCCCCAUCUAUACAAUGGCGAUCAUGCUUGCCUGCACAGACAUCCACCUGGGGCCCCAUGGAAACUCCUGGAACAUGGGCUCAGUAUCAGGGGAACCCACUCCCAAUAUUUCAACAUACAUUCUUUCUAU
rnacentral:lncRNA from 1 species